GGGCGCUUCGCUUUGCCGCCAUAGCCGUUUUAUCUACUAGUGUUUGUGAAUUGGCUUUUGGUAUGAAAGUCCGAGUCGUUGAGUGGACUUGAGUUCAGUAGUCAGUAGUGGUCGGUCGAAUGCACGGAAAGUAUGGUUAUGGAAAAAGUUGCGUUUGGUUAACUUUCCUCUUAUUAGGUUUUUCACAGCGAGAAAAAUCGGUUUCCAACGGCGUCAUCGAAUAAUUUCAUAUUCGUGUUAAAACCGGCUAUUUUACGACAGGUCAGGUAGACAAAUAUUUUGAUCUUUUUGACCGUUUGGUAUUCGCGUGACACACCUCCGGGAAACUUUUUCUUUUUUUCAUGUGAAACAAACGAAUAGAAGCAUAGUUACAUUCUGAAUAUUCGUGAACAUUAUUUUUUAUACCUUCGUAUCGAAUUGUGAUUCAGUGUUAUGACGUAUCGUGACAAGAAUAAUUCUUAAGAAAUAAUACUAAUCGAGUGUUCUCAUGACAGUGUGAAAUAUAAAAUGUUGUAACAGUGUUAUUCUUUCUUUUAAAUAUAUCAUUUUAUGGCGGGAAAUUGAACUUUGAAGAAGCGGACGUCACCAACUGGCCUCUUCCCUCUCUGUGCGAUUAUUCUUUGGAUAUCGAGUUUUGAGUUACGAUUAGAAACACAUUCUUAUUUUAUUCGACGACGCGGAGCUCACACAGUUAAUCCAUAACUCACCGCUACCUGACUGUGUUACCUCUGAGAAUUCUUUGGAAUUUCGGCCCUCCCGGAAGGCGAUGCUUUCUAUCUUCGUUCAACGAUUCGAUUAGAAAGAUUUCGAAACGUUAAAAAAGCUACACAAAUGCCGAAAUCGGCAGCCAAGUGGACAUUCUGGAGUUUAAGAAAGUGCAAGAGGCCCGUCGGCGAGGAGAACGAGGAGAAUAAGAAAGGAAAACGGAAACGAGCAGCGGAAAUAGAGAUCGAGGUGUCGACGAAAGAGAAAGAGGUUUCGACCGUGGAAACCAAACGGAAAACCAUGGAACACACGGUCACAAGAUGCGACGUCCGUUUACCGAAAGUCACACCGAUCACCGAUGACUAUGAAAUCAGUAAUCACGUGCUUGGUCUUGGAAUAAACGGAAAAGUUGUUCAGUGUUAUGACAAAAAUACCAGGGAAAAAUAUGCGCUCAAGGUACUGUACGAUUGUGUAAAAGCACGAAGGGAAGUUGAAUUGCAUUGGAGAGCGUCAAACUGCAGGCACAUAGUGCAAGUCAAAGAUGUAUAUGAAAAUACAUAUAGUGGAAAUAAAUGUUUAUUAGUUAUUAUGGAAUGUAUGGAAGGAGGAGAACUGUUUGAGAGAAUACAAGAUAGGCAAGAUGGUGCUUUCACGGAGAGAGAAGCUGCACAAAUAAUGUAUGAAAUUUGUGUUGCUGUAAAGCACCUGCAUGAUAUGAAUAUUGCACACAGAGACCUUAAGCCGGAAAAUCUUUUGUACUCUAAGCCUGAUAGUACUGGAAUAUUGAAACUUACUGAUUUCGGUUUUGCGAAAGAGACCCAUAUGAAAGAUACACUACAAACCCCGUGUUAUACGCCAUACUAUGUUGCUCCUGAAGUUUUGGGACCAGAGAAAUAUGACAAAAGCUGUGAUAUUUGGUCACUUGGAGUUAUAAUGUAUAUACUAUUGUGCGGUUUCCCACCUUUCUACAGUAAUCAUGGUUUAGCAAUUUCACCAGGAAUGAAAAAAAGAAUUCGGUUAGGUCAAUAUGACUUUCCAGCUCCUGAAUGGUCCAAUGUAAGCACAGAGGCAAAGAAUCUCAUCAAGGGUAUGUUGUGUACAGAUCCAGCUCAAAGACUUCAAAUCGACGAAGUUAUGCGCAACAAAUGGAUUGCUCAAUACACGGAAGUACCCCCCACGCCUUUACAUACUGGUCGCGUACUCCGAGAAGGCGAAGAACUUUGGCCAGAAGUUCAAGAAGAAAUGACACGGUCAUUAGCUACCAUGCGCGUAGACUACGAUACGGCCAAUUUGAAACAAUUAGAUCACACAAAUAACGCGUUAUUAAACAAACGUAGACGAGCGAAACAAAAAAACGCUGUACCACCGACUGCUAAUCCUACGCCAGCAUCCUAGGGAGACGCGAUAAGAGCCAGUCAACACUGGCGCGUCUUUUUACGAAGAUGUAUAAGAAUAGUCUUGAAAAAAUCCUGCCUACGUCGAGAUAUUAGACGCAUGAAAUUGUAUUUGACCAUGCAAUUACGACAAUUUACGACAUCUUAAAUAUUUUUAAAAUGCUAUCGACCGUAAUUGCCAAAUUUGAAUGACAGGAGCACAGUUGACAUAAUAAACAAAGGAUAUUUUGCCAGUUAUGGUGCAUUUUUCGCGACUUAAAAGAUUUAAUAAUACAGAAAGAAGUACCAGGAUUAAAAAUCAAUCUGAUGCGACUAAAUAAUGUAUAUUACAAUUUAUAUUUAUUGAUGAAACGUUAAUAAGAAAACCGUUUUGUCAUCAGUAACUGCAUAUAUAAUAAAUUCAUAUUGAAAAGGAAUAUAAAAAAUAUUUUUCAAUUUUAAAUGGAAUGUUGGACUUCAUAAUGAAGGUCUGUUAUCUAAUAUAAAAGAAUACGCCACCUAAUUAGCAGCUUCUCAUUGAUUUACUUAAAAUUUAAGUCUUAAUUCAUAAAUUAAAAUGCUUGGCAAUUUUUAUGUGUAUAGUGUUUCUUUAAAUUAUUAAACUACUAUUAUUUAUCGUGAUUGACGUAUAAGACAAAAAUACAUCAUGCCAAUUUUUAUUAGUACGUUUUUUCAGUUGUUAUCUGUGUACAGUUACAAUUCAUUCAAACUAUGAAAAUAACGUUUAAUUAAAAAAUAAUGCAAACAUGUGUAAUGUACUUUUAAGUGAUAUUUUGACUGAGGCUGAAUACGUGUAAGAAUCCUUAUAAUUGUUGCAAGGUGCUAACAUACGUUGCUCUAAUUAUUUCGUAGGUAUUAAAACAAUACUACAAUUUCCUAAUUUUUUAAAUAAAUAAAAUUUAUAGUAAAAGAUGGAACUUAGGAACAAAGAUGUAUACAUUACGAUAUAAAUGUAGUAAUUAUAUUUUUUUAGAUGUAUUAUAAAAUAAAAAUUGAAAUUUAGACUAAAGAAAUGCCUUAACCAACAUCAGAUCAAUUUUUAGUUUAAUGUUUAAUUAGCAUAAUUAAAUAUUUCUGUUAGGUACAGAUUCAGUAACGUGUAAGGUGAGAGGUGAUGAAAUCUCAUGAAUGUAUCAUUGUUUCUUCUGAGGCGACGUUUAUGUUAUUAAUGUAAAUAUUAUAUGUACGAAGUAUUUUUAAUAAGAUACUUGUAGUUGAAGCUAUGAUUAUUCAUAUUAUCAACAGCUCUCCAUGAUAAGUAUUAGAAAUGUUUAAUAGAUGAAAAUAGAUCUUAUGACUGAUAAAUAAUGAGAAAAUUAGGCCUUAAUUGUUUUCACAGUUCUAUAUCAUUGAAUUGUUUUCAGAAUAAUAAAAUUUUCAACUAAGUACUAUAUUUAGUAAUAUACUUAUUAUUAAAUAAUAGAUUAUUUUAGAAUCGUGGAAACAAGACUUCUUCAAAAUAAACAUUAUGUAAUGGUUCAGCUUCUAAACCUCAUUAAAAAUAAUCAAACUGAAGGUCAACUAGUUGUAUACGAAAACUGACGCAAACUUAAAGAAAGGACAGUUCUACGCUACAUUUUUAAAUUAAAAUAAUACGUUUAGUUUCAAAUGUCAUAUAAACGACUGUUGCAUUAUUGUACUUGAUAAUACUGAAAUAGUACAAGUGUUGUUUACGAUUUUAUAGAUUAACAUUAUUAGAAAACGAAAAUAAGUAUGCGUGGCUUUGAGUUGGACUAUAAUAUCGAAAUAUUUUUGUAAUGGAUUCAAGUAUAUUGAUUUGCACUGCAUUUAUAAAACUCGACAAUAAAUGUAAAAAGUAUCAUUAAUUAAUGCAA